rnacentral:rRNA from 1 species
UACGAAGGGGGCUAGCGUUGCUCGGAAUUACUGGGCGUAAAGGGAGCGUAGGCGGAUAGUUAAGUCAGAGGUGAAAGCCCAGGGCUCAACCUUGGAAUUGCCUUUGAUACUGGCUAUCUUGAGUAUGGGAGAGGUUAGCGGAACUCCGAGUGUAGAGGUGAAAUUCGUAGAUAUUCGGAAGAACACCAGUGGCGAAGGCGACUGACUGGACAAGUAUUGACGCUGAGGUGCGAAAGCGUGGGGAGCAAACAGG